rnacentral:rRNA from 1 species
UGGGUAUGUUAAUAGCUAUACUCAUUUGACGUUAGCUGCAGAAGAAGCACCGGCUAACUCCGUGCCAGCAGCCGCGGUAAUACGGAGGGUGCGAGCGUUAAUCGGAAUUACUGGGCGUUAAAGCGCAUGCAGGUGGUUUGUUAAGUCAGAUGUGUAAAAGCCCCGGGGCUCAACCUCGGAAUUGCAUUUGAAAACUGGCAAACUAGAGUACUGUAGAGGGGGGUAGGAAUUUCAGGUGUAGCGGUGAAAUGCGUAGAGAUCUGAAGGAAUACCGGUGGCGAAGGCGGCCCCCUGGACAGAUACUGACACUCAGAUGCGAAAGCGUGGGGAGCAAACAGGAUUAGAUACCCUGGUAG